rnacentral:rRNA from 1 species
GAUGAACGCUGGCGGCGUGCCUAAUACAUGCAAGUCGAGCGAACAGACGCGGCGCUUGCUCCUCUGACGUUUGCCGCGGACGGGUGAGUAACACGUGGAUCACCUCCCUAUCAGACUGGGAUCACUUCGGGAAACCGGCGCUAAUACCGGAUAAUCUCUUGAACCGCAUGGUUCAAUAGUGAAAGACGGUUUUGCUGUCACUUCUAGCUGGAUCCGCGCCGCAUUAGCUAGUUGGUAAGGUAACGGCUUUUCACGGCAACGAUGCGUAGCCGACGUGAGAGAGGGAUAGGCGACAUGGGAAGUGAGACGGGGACAUGACGCCUACGAGAGGCAGCAGUAGGGUAUGUGCCGCAAUGGGCGAAAGCAUGACGGAGCAACGGCGCGUGAGUUGUGAAGGUCUUGGGAGCGUAAAACUCUGUUACUAGGGAAGAACAAAUGUGUAAGGAACUAUGCACGGCGUGACGGUACCUAAUCAGAAAGCCACGGCUAACUACGUG